rnacentral:rRNA from 1 species
AUACGGAGGAUCCGAGCGUUAUCCGGAUUUAUUGGGUUUAAAGGGUGCGUAGGCGGCCAUUUAAGUCAGCGGUUAAAUCGUGGGGCUCAACCCCAUUCUGCCGUUGAUACUGGGUGGCUUGAUUGCGGUCGAGGUUGGCGGAAUUCGUUGUGUAGCGGUGAAAUGCAUAGAUAUGACGAAGAACACCGAUUGCGUAGGCAGCUGACCAGACCGCAAAUGACGCUCAUGCACGAAAGUGCGGGGAUCGAACAGGAUUAGAUACCCUGGUAGUCCGCACAGUAAACGAUGAAUACUUGUUUUCGGCGAUAUAAUGUCGGAGGCAAAGCGAAAGCGAUAAGUAUUCCACCUGGGGAGUACGCCGGCAACGGUGAAACUCAAAUGAAUUGGCGGGG